GAUGAACGCUGGCGGCGUGCCUCAAACAUGCAAGUCGAGCGGGGCUAUGUAAUAUCGCAAGGUAGAACAUAGCCUAGCGGCGAACGGGUGAGUAACACGUGGGUAACCUGCCUGGAAGACAGGGAUAACGAUUCGAAAGGGUCGCUAAUACCUGAUAAUAUCCUUUCAUCGCAUGGUGAUAGGAAGAAAGGGGAAACCCGCUUUCAGAUGGGCCCGCGUCCCAUCAGCUAGUUGGUGGGGUAAAGGCCUACCAAGGCGACGAUGGGUAGCCGGCCUGAGAGGGUGGACGGCCACACUGGGACUGAGACACGGCCCAGACUCCUACGGGGGGCAGCAGUAGGGAAUCUUCGGCAAUGGGCGGAAGCCUGACCGAGCGACGCCGCGUGAGGGACGAAGGCCUUCGGGUUGUAAACCUCUGUCAUGGGGAAGAAGUAAGUGACGGUACCCCAAGAGGAAGCCCCUGCUAACUACGUG
rnacentral:rRNA from 1 species